UUGAGUUCCCAGAGUUCCUAUUGGGUCAACGCGGGAAGCUCCAAGAUGGCGGCAGUGGCGACCUGCGGCACCGGCGCUGGGAGUACUGGAUCUAUGGUGGCGGCAGGCGGCAAGAACAACGUCACCAGUUUCCAAAGGAGGGGUCCUAGAGCAAGCGGUUCUGACAGCAGCUAUUCUCGACUGGUGUCCAUCGCGGGCACACGACCGUCGGUACGGAAUGGACAGCUGCUGGUAUCAACUGGGCUCCCAGCCCUGGACCAGCUCUUAGGUGGAGGUUUGGCCGUCGGAACAGUUCUUCUAAUUGAAGAGGAUAAAUAUAAUAUUUAUUCUUCUUUGCUCUUCAAGUAUUUCCUGGCAGAGGGAAUCAUCAAUGGGCAUACUUUGUUGGUUGCAUCUGCAAAAGAAGACCCGGCUGAUAUUUUACAGGAACUUCCUGCACCAUUACUUGAUGAUAAUGUUAAAAAAGAUUUUGACGAAGAUGCAUGUAAUCAUAAAACAGCAGAAUCUAACAUUAAAAUGAAAAUAGCUUGGCGUUACCAGUUAUUACCCAAGAUGGAGGCUGGACCAGUAUCAUCUUCAAGAUUUGGUCACUAUUAUGAUGCAUCAAAAAAGAUGCCACAAGAACUAAUUGAGGCUUCAAAAUGGCAUGGGUUUUUUUUCCCAGAAAAAUCAUCUUCAACUCUUAAUAUAGAACCAUGUUCUUUGACCCAUGGCUACAUAAAGCUGCUUCAGUUUAUCCAGAACAUCAUAUAUGAGGAAGGAUUUGAUGGAUCCAAUCCCCAGAAAAAACAGAAAAACAUUUUAAGAAUAGGAAUCCAGAAUCUUGGUUCACCUUUGUGGGGGGAUGACAUUUGCUGUACGGAAAAUGGCAACAGUCACAGCCUUACGAAGUUCCUGUACGUCCUCCGUGGUCUUCUGCGAACCUCUCUUUCGGCUUGUAUGAUCACAAUGCCAACACAUCUUAUCCAGAAUAAAGCAAUUAUUUCCCGUGUUACAAACUUGUCAGAUACAGUAGUUGGUCUGGAAUCAUUUAUUGGUUCUGAGAGAGAAACCAACCCAUUAUAUAAGGAUUAUCAUGGUUUGAUUCAUAUUCGGCAAAUUCCUCGGCUUAAUAACUUGAUUUAUGAUGUAUCCGAUGUCAAAGACUUAGCUUUUAAAUUAAAAAGGAAGCUAUUCACCAUUGAGAAGACAGAUCUGGGGUACAGCGGCAUCUGACCAUUUACAUGUCAAAUGUGUAAAUGCUUUGGAAGCCUCCAAGGAAAAGUCCCUCACACACCUGGCAAGCCGGAACCUGAUCUCUCCUUCUUCCUCCCUGCUUCACAUCGUACUGACAUGGCGCACAGGGGGAGGCUCAGAAAGGAAGAAAACAAAACCUACUGGUUGGGAAUUUAGAGUGCAUAGGAAGCUCAUUCAAGCAACAAUCACCAGAGCCAGCAAGAUCAUUCACCUAUUUCCAAGAGCCAUCGUUGGGCUCUUUCAAAGGACAUAAGUAUGCAACUCGCGUUCACAAUGUAGCAUUUGGUCAGAAGCAUUUCAUCAUAUCAACCAAAUUUUUUUUGUACUCAGAAGUUACACACGAAUGAUAGUUGACUUUUCUUCCAAGCCAUUCAACCUGAAAGAUUUCCAAGCAUGUCACACGUCACAUUUAGCUACUCUUGCUAUGAAGGGCUUUCAGCCAACUGGCCCACGUUCAUUGCCUAGAGAAGCAGAGGAAGAGAAAUUUUUAGCAAAUAGCGACUGCAUUUGCCUCCAGACUUGUCAGACACAGUGAGCCGCUCGAGCAAACAGGAUCUGGCAGAGCCCUCCAAGCUGCUGGGCCCAGGCUGUGGCGUGAUGGCCGGA